UUCAGGCAGAGAAUUGCUCAAGCAGAAGCUAUGGCUCGUGCAGACAUGCUGAGAUUCCAGCCUGAGAGUGGACUAACUCUGAGCUCUGAUGGGAUCUUGGGUCCGUUAACGUCGGACAUGCCAGCAGAGGGUUUAGACUUGAGUUAUGUUCCCACAGCAGAGGAUUGAUGAUUGAGCUUGCAAUACUUUCGUCCCUGGUCAUUGAUUUGGUCAGUAAAAUUAAAAUUGUACAAAUGGCUUCAUUUGAGCCUGGGCUAUAAAGUUACCAUUGUAUUCCAUUU
rnacentral:misc_RNA from 1 species